GACGAACGCUGGCGGCGUGCUUAACACAUGCAAGUCGAACGAAGUGGCGAACGGGUGAGUAAAGCGUAAUCAACCUGCCCUUCAGAGGGGGACAACAGUUGGAAACGACGGCUAAUACCGCAUAAUGAAGGAGGGGAUUGCGUCUGCGUUGCUAGUGGGAGGGGAAACGGCCCACAAAGGAGAUGAUCAGUAGCCGGUCUGGGAGGAUGAACGGCCACAUUGGUACUGAGACACGGCACAGACUCCUACGGGAGGCAGCAGUGGGUAAUCUUCCGCAAUGGACGAAAGUCUGACGGAGCAACGCCGCGUGAGUGAUGACGGCCUUCGGGUUGUAAAGCUCUGUUAAUCGGGACGCGGUACCGGAAUAGAAAGCCACGGCUAACUACGUGCCAGCAGCCGCGGUAAUAC
rnacentral:rRNA from 1 species